rnacentral:piRNA from 1 species
UAGACCUGAUAACUGUAACAAAAGAAAAAU